GCAGACCAGGCGAUCGCGUGCUUAUGCAUGAGGAAAGUCCGGGCUCCGCAGGGCAGGGAUGACGGAUAACGUCCGCCGCAGGUAACUGUAGGGAAAGUGCAACAGAAACAUUCCGCCGAAACGGGUAAUGCCGUGGUAAGGUUGAAAUGGUGAGGAGCUGUGGAGACACAGCUGCCGUGUAAACCCCAUCCGGAGCAAGACAAAAUGGGCAAUAUGUGGUGCGGCCCGUACCCGCCCAGAGGUAUGUCGCAUGAGGCCGCAGGCAACUGCGGUCCUAGAUGGAUGAUCGUCAGAUACAGAACCCGGCUUACGGUCUGCCC
rnacentral:RNase_P_RNA from 1 species